rnacentral:rRNA from 1 species
AACGAACGCUGGCGGCAUGCCUAACACAUGCAAGUCGAACGAGACCUUCGGGUCUAGUGGCGCACGGGUGCGUAACGCGUGGGAACCUGCCCUUAGGUUCGGAAUAACUCCCCGAAAGGGGUGCUAAUACCGGAUAAUGUCUUCGGACCAAAGAUUUAUCGCCUUUGGAUGGGCCCGCGUUGGAUUAGCUAGUUGGUAGGGUAAAAGCCUACCAAGGCGACGAUCCAUAGCUGGUCUGAGAGGAUGAUUAGCCACACUGGGACUGAGACACGGCCCAGACUCCUACGGGAGGCAGCAGUGGGGAAUAUUGGACAAUGGGCGAAAGCCUGAGCCAGCAAUGCCGCGUGAGUGAUGAAGGCCUUAGGGUUGUAAAGCUCUUUUACCCGGGAUGAUAAUGACAGUACCGGGAGAAUAAGCUCCGGCUAACUCCGUG